rnacentral:rRNA from 1 species
UACGGGGGGAGCAAGCGUUGUUCAGAUUUACUGGGCGUAAAGGGCGCGUAGGCGGUCAGCACAAGUCAGUUGUGAAAUCUCCGGGCUUAACUCGGAAAGGUCAACUGAUACUGUGCGACUAGAGUGCAGAAGGGGCAACUGGAAUUCUCGGUGUAGCGGUGAAAUGCGCAGAUAUCAGGAGGAACACCGGUGGCGAAGGCGGGUCUCUGGGCCGUAACUGACGCUGAGGAGCGAAAGCAUGGGGAGCGAACAGG